GAUGAACGCUGGCGGCGUGCCUAAUACAUGCCAGUCGAGCGAACGGACGAGAAGCUUGCUUCUCUGAUGUUAGCGGCGGACGGGUGAGUAACACGUGGAUAACCUACCUAUAAGACUGGGAUAACUUCGGGAAACCGGAGCUAAUACCGGAUAAUAUUUUGAACCGCAUGGUUCAAAAGUGAAAGCCGGUUUUGCUGUCACUUAUAGAUGGAUCCGCGCUGCAUUAGCUAGUUGGUAAGGUAACGGCUUACCAAGGCAACGAUGCAUAGCCGACCUGAGAGGGUGAUCGGCCACACGGGAACUGAGACACGGUCCAGACUCCUACGGGAGGCAGCAGUAGGGAAUCUUCCGCAAUGGGCGAAAGCCUGACGGAGCAACGCCGCGUGAGUGAUGAAGGUCUUCGGAUCGUAAAACUCUGUUAUUAGGGAAGAACAUAUGUGUAAGUAACUGUGCACAUCUUGACGGUACCUAAUCAGAAAGCCACGGCUAACUACGUG
rnacentral:rRNA from 1 species